AAACUCAAAUGAAUUGACGGGGACCCGCACAAGCGGUGGAUGAUGUGGAUUAAUUCGAUGCAACGCGAAAAACCUUACCUACCCUUGACAUGCCUGGAACCCUGGAGAGAUCUAGGGGUGCCCGAAAGGGAGCCGGGACACAGGUGCUGCAUGGCUGUCGUCAGCUCGUGUCGUGAGAUGUUGGGUUAAGUCCCGCAACGAGCGCAACCCUUGUCACUAGUUGCUACGCGAGGGCACUCUAGUGAGACUGCCGGUGACAAACCGGAGGAAGGUGGGGAUGACGUCAAGUCCUCAUGGCCCUUAUGGGUAGGGCUUCACACGUCAUACAAUGGUCGGUACAGAGGGUUGCCAAGCCGCGAGGUGGAGCCAAUCCCAGAAAGCCGAUCGUAGUCCGGAUUGCAGUCUGCAACUCGACUGCAUGAAGUCGGAAUCGCUAGUAAUCGCGGAUCAGCAUGUCGCGGUGAAUACGUUCCCGGGUCUUGUACACACCGCCCGUCACACCAUGGGAGUGGGGUUCACCAGAAGUAGGUAGCCUAACCGCGAGGGGGGCGCUUACCACGGUGAGCUUCAUGACUGGGGUGAAGUCGUAACAAGGUAGCCGUAUCGGAAGGUGCGGCUGGAUCACCUCCUUUCUG
rnacentral:rRNA from 1 species